rnacentral:rRNA from 1 species
GAUGAACGCUGGCGGCGUGCCUAAUACAUGCAAGUCGAGCGAACAGAUAAGGAGCUUGCUCCUUUGACGUUAGCGGCGGACGGGUGAGUAACACGUGGGUAACCUACCUAUAAGACUGGAAUAACUCCGGGAAACCGGGGCUAAUGCCGGAUAACAUUUAGAACCGCAUGGUUCUAAAGUGAAAGAUGGUUUUGCUAUCACUUAUAGAUGGACCCGCGCCGUAUUAGCUAGUUGGUAAGGUAACGGCUUACCAAGGCAACGAUACGUAGCCGACCUGAGAGGGUGAUAGGCCACACUGGAACUGAGACACGGUCCAGACUACUACGGGAGGCAGCAGUAGGGAAUCUUCCGCAAUGGGCGAAAGCCUGACGGAGCAACGCCGCGUGAGUGAUGAAGGUCUUCGGAUCGUAAAACUCUGUUAUUAGGGAAGAACAAAUGUGUAAGUAACUGUGCACGUCUUGACGGUACCUAAUCAGAAAGCCACGGCUAACUACGUG